UACGUAGGGUGCAAGCGUUGUCCGGAAUUAUUGGGCGUAAAGCGCACGUAGGCGGAUCCUUAAGUCGGGGGUGAAAUCCUGGAGCUCAACUCCAGAACUGCCUUCGAUACUGAGGAUCUCGAGUCCGGGAGAGGUGAGUGGAACUGCGAGUGUAGAGGUGAAAUUCGUAGAUAUUCGCAAGAACACCAGUGGCGAAGGCGGCUCACUGGCCCGAUACUGACGCUGAGGCACGAAAGCGUGGGGAGCAAACGGGG
rnacentral:rRNA from 1 species